UACGUAGGCAGCGAGCGUUGUUCGGAGUUACUGGGCGUAAAGGGUGUGUAGGCGGUCCUCUAAGUUCGGUGUGAAAUCUCCCGGCUCAACUGGGAGGGUGCGCCGGAAACUGGAGGGCUUCGAGUGCGGGAUGGGAGAGUGGAAUUCCUGGUGUAGCGGUGAAAUGCGUAGAUAUCAGGAGGAACACCGGUGGUGUAGACGGCUCUCUGGACCGUAACUGACGCUGAGACACGAAAGCGUGGGUAGCAAACAGG
rnacentral:rRNA from 1 species